rnacentral:tRNA from 1 species
GGACACGGGCCUGAACAAAGGAUUACCUUGAUAGGGUUAAUAAUAGAGGAUAAAGGCCUCUCGUCUCCU